GCUCAGUGACAGAGGCGGGGCCCGAAAAGACCUGAACCAGAGGGUGGGUAGGAGGUGCUUCUGAAGUGGUCGGAGCUAAGUAGGCUUCUGCGGAUCAUCCGAUUCCGGAGCAACAUUUACCUGUUAUUCCUGAGUAAAUUGAGGAUCCAAGUAAGGUCGUGGUCCCUGCGAAAAGCGUCACCGUUACCUCCUGCUUCUCACGACUUCCGGGAUCCUGGUUUUCCUUCCAACAUUUUCAAUAUAUCAUGCCCAUCCUCUUCCGGCCUGCAAAGUUUCUGCUGCAAUCAGCUCAUGGCCUUAUGGGAGUUCCUUUGCAUCAGCACUUAAGGAUUCUUCUAGAACAAUGGGAUGAAGACAGAGCAGCAGGAGAACUAGUAAUACUGGUGGCGAUUAUGGAAAUAAUGCAUUAGAGGAUCCCAGCAGGAGAAAGGGACCAGAUGGUUGACCAACAUGGAGCUUAUUACCAACAUAACACAGUUCUGGUGUGCUGGCCAUGUACAAAGGGAAAUAAACAGGAGGAAUGUCAAAUGUGUCACGAGAUCUGCUAAAAUGGAGAACUCCUUGGAAAGGGCGAGAGAGCAGCAGGAAUGGCUUAAAGUAUACUGUUUCCAAAGUAGCAUGUAUGGUGUUGUACCAUCUUGACAACAAAAACAAGAAACUAAAACCAACCAAACCCCCCACCAUGUGUAUGUAAGUGACAAAAAGGAGAUGCAACAUCAUACUGAGUCAUCAGUAGUUCUCUCUGUGAAGGGGAGUGGUAAAUGCCUUCUCUUCUUUGAGGGUGUUUUGUUUUGUUUUGGUUUGGGUGUAUAUCUACAGAGAACAUGCAUUUCUUCUGCAAUUAAAACUUACUGGUCAUUGUUGAAACUUGAGGUUUUCUAUGCUAUUCUUUUUUUUUUUCUUGUUCAUGUUUAAAAUUUUCACUCUCAAGAGUGUGGAGAUACUUUGAGAAAAUAAAAACAGCUUGAAACACAGACUAAUCCUAAAAAUGGCUGCUGCAGCUUAUUGGGAAUAAAUGUGGAUGCCAAUGAAAAUCAUCAAUAAACAAUCUAUAAUAGGAGUUCCCUUCUUGGCUCAGUGGAGACAAAGCCGACUAUUGGCUAUCCAGGAUGACGUGGGUACAAUCCUUGGCCCUGCUCUGUGGGUUAAGGAUCCGGCAUUGCUGUGAGCUCUAGUGUAGGUCACAGAUGCAGCUCGGAUCCCUUAUUGUUGUGGCUGUGGUGUAGGCCAGCAGCUACAGCUCCAAUUGGACCUCUAACCUGGGAACUUCCGUAAGCCAUGGCUAUGGUGCUAAAAAGACAAAGAAUUUUUUUAAAAAGUAACAGUCUAUAAUAGGAAUAGAAGAGGAUUUUAUUUGAGCCAAACUAAGGGCUAUAGCCCAGAAGACAGCUUCUUGGAUUACUCUGAGAAUCUUCUCUGGAGAAGCAGGGUUUUCAGCACAAUUUUAUGUGUGGUCAGAACAAAGAACAUCAAGCAAGUCAGGGAUACAUUCUUCCAAGGUUUCAAAGAAACAGACCAGCACCUGCAUGGCAAGUCAGCAUCACCCCUGCACCUGGAAGGGGAGUCUUAUCAUCCAUAGUGUACCAGAGCUGGCCCAGGAAGAGAGGUAUUUAAUCUUUUUUUUUCUUUUUUUUUUUUAACAUGGACAUUCUUUGCUUCUGGUCAGUGCACCCUUUUCUUUAAUAAUUAAAGCAUGGAGAACAGACUUGUGGUUGCCAAGAGGGAGGGAGUGGGAAUUUGGGGGUUGGUAGAUGCAAACUAUUGCAUUCGGAGUGCAUAGGUAAUGAGAUCCUGCUGUAUAUCUAGUCACUCGUGAUGGAACAUGAUGGAGGAUAAUGUGAGAAAAAGAAUGUUAUGUAUAUAUGAAAGAACAACAAAUAAGAAAAAUAGUGCUACAAAACUGAAUGGCCUUAGAUAUAUUCACUGCAGCUAAAGGAGGUAUCUGUGCUAUUAUAAAAUCUGAAUGUUGUGUCUAUAUUCCUGAUUAUUCACAGAAUGUGCCUGAUUCCCUGUGAAAUCUCUGACAGCAGAUUCAUAAGAUGUCUGAUCCAGCUCCAGCUUUUGCAGCUGCCCUCUGGAACUGGUUGACCUCCUCCUUCACCUUAGUCAUCAUUGUGAUCUUGAUCUUUUUAUUUGGACCCUGUAUAAUUAAUUGUAUUUCUCGCUUCAUUACAUCCUGAUUAGCAACUAUCAACAUUCAAAUGGUGAUAGAAGCAGUACCCAAUGUAAUGUAUCAAAGCCCACUUGACCAUCCCAUGAGUGGAGACCUAACUUCUUUCCCCUAACAAUGUCUCUGUACAGCAGGAAGCAGUCAGAGUGGUGGUAGCUCCCUUUCCCCCUGAAGUUAGAGUCUCCAACUCUAGAAGAAGGGAUUGAGGCAGAAUAAUAACUCAGGUAGUUAGUGUAGGAGCAUAGGCUUUGAUGCAUUCGAUAUGGCUGUUGAUAAACAUUUGUGGCUUAAGGGCUCCAGGGAGUAACAUCCCCACAGGCCUUGUUUACUACAGGGAGUGCACCUAUGCCCAGAUGGACAUUAAUCCCUAUCUCCCUGUGAUUCAGUUUAUGAGAAGAAAAGGACAAAGAAACCAUGAGACUUAUGGGACAUUCCUGUCCCUGAGACCCCUUUUGGACAGGGACCCCUUUUAAGUAUUUGGGCAAGGCCAAUGGGAGAAAACCAUAUCUUUCUGGACCCCACGUUGGUACCCCCAUCUCUAAGGGAUAAAAACCCCUAUAAGACAAUAAAGAAGGGGGCUCUUCUCCCUCCUCCCAGCUGUUUUGGGAGCUGUUUUCUUUCCUGUAAUAAAGAUUUUGCUUGCUUGCAAAAAAAAAAAAAAAAAGUGUGUGUGUGUGUGUGUAUGUAUUAUAUAUAUUUUAUAUAUGGCUGGGUCACUUUGCUAUACAGCAGGAAUUGACAGAACAUUGUAAAUCAACUAUAAUUAAAGAAAUAAAAAUCUUUAAAAAAUCGUUAAAGCAGAGGUGCAAUGUAUGUGUGAUAGGUUACAAACAGGCUGUUCUAGUCAGUGGAAAUUCAAGUUAACUCAUGCAUAAGCCAGAAUGACGUCUCCACACCUCUAUGGGAGAAUUUCCUUUAUCAGUGGCCAAAAGUACCUCCUGGAAUAUGAUUCUGCAUAAGAGGCUCCCUUGAGCAAAGGCCACAUUGAGUUUCAGAAGCAAAGUCAUAAGAGGUGAGAGGUAUUUGGUAGAUUUCCCUCAGAAGAAGAUCUGGUGUGGAAGCAGCUCCUUCCAUAUCCUGUUCCUGGGGCCCAUCUAUCCUAACCCCUCUCCCCCAAAACCCCUGCCCACCCUCCCCACCUUCCUCCCCUUGCUGUGUUCCAUGGCAUAUAAAACCCACACAUUCUCCUGCUACAGGGUCUUUGCAUCUGUUCCCCCUCCUUGGAACUCUUGCUCAGAUCUUUUUGUUGUUGUUGUUUUGGGUCACACCUGUAGCAUGUGGAUGUUCCCAGGCUAGGGGGUUGAAUCGGAGAUGUAGCCGCCGGCCUAG